rnacentral:rRNA from 1 species
AUGUCGUACUCGGACGACGAAAGUCUCCCGGGGGAGUGCGACUGGUGCCACGACGACCGAGGUCAGUGCGACAGGCCUCACCUGGACGAAGAUCGGCGCUUCAGUAUUAAGCUGGAGGAGACGUUCGAUGUUGAAACGCUUAUCCCAUGCCAUGCAAGACACUACGUCUUGGAGAGGAUGGGUUUUGAAGACCAUGAAAGUAUGGAAACAAAGAAAAUUCACCUAAGGACCCAUCAUGAUAUAGAUUUUGAAGUAAAGCUGUAUAAUUCUGAGAGCGUAACCCAUUUUGGUUGCAAAAAUUGGGAAGCAUUUUGCAAGAUGUAUGGUUUUGAUGAGGGUAUGCUUGUCACCAUGGAUCUUGGUGAUCCUGACAUCGAGCAAGACAAUAUGGACAUUUGGGUCCUUGUUGAUACGCCUCCAAUUCUACCGCUAUCUUAUUUUGAUUGUUCAAACAAUGUGCGGAACAUGGUAGACAGAACCUACUACACCGAUGGCUCUGAGUUAACUUAUAAGGAGAAAACUCAUCUGGUCGGAUUUUGUACUGAUAUUGAGAAUUACAAUAUCUACAAUCAAACUCCUCAUCAUUAUGGUCCUCCAUACGUGCCACUAGUGCACGUGUUGAACUACGGUAACUACUAUGGAGAUACCCUGAGAAUCCCAGAGGAUUGUGUGCCUCAUUUGAUGUAUCAGAAUGGUAGGCUUGAUGUUUUGAAUAUACAACCAAGUCAUCCUACGAAUCUCAACUGUCCAUACCGGAUUUCUAAAAGAAGUGGAGACAUGCAAAUCAAAGAAUGGAAAAAAUGUAUGGACAGUCGCAAGGAGCUUCUUGGAAGCCAAAGGAAGCGAGGCGCAAUAAUUGGAGACAUGAUGAUCUCCAUUCUCCAUAAUGGAGAGUCAGGGUCUAUAUUGUUUUAUGCUACUUUACCUUAA